UUCAUCGAGGGUAUGGCAUCUAUCCCAAGAAUCCAGCACAUAUCAGGUAUUGAGCGGAUUAUAGUAGCUGACGCUGAGCACUCUUUCUGUUCCAGGCACUGUUCUAAGCUAUUCACCCAUAUUAACUUACUUUAUUCUUACAACCACCACCCAAGAAGUUGUUACUAUAGUCAUACCUAUUUUCCAGAUGAGGAAAUCGAGGCACUGAGAGACCCCAGGCAGAACCGGAGAAGCAGAGAGGUAGGGGAGUCCUAACCAAGUGCACCCACCCAGAUGAGUAAACAGCCAGCCUCCAUUUCCUAGGCAACCUUGACGCGUCGUCCCCUACCUGCAACCUCAUGUUUCCCUGGGAUGCUCUUCCAGACAUUUUUACAUCAGUUCUCUCCACUCUUCACACUUGGAGGGCUGUAGUCUAAGGUAAGAGCACAUCUCCAUAUUCAGUGUAAGGGUCUCUACUAAUCACUCCUGCUGGUUGUUCAUUGGCUCCAGCUGUCCACAUGUUGAGUCUCAUGGGCAAAAACCUGACCUCUCUUGGAUUUAAUGAACAGUUGACCCUAGAACAGCAGGUGUUUGAACUGCGCAGGUACAUGUAUACGUGGAUAUUUUGAUAAAUAGAUGCAUACGGUACAGGAUGGUAAAUGUAUUUUCUCUUAUGAUC